AACGCACCUUGCGCUUCUUGGUAUUCCGAGGAGCAUGCCUGUUUGAGUGUCAUUAAAUUCUCAAUCCCUUCCAGUAUUCUGGUUGUGGCUUGGAUAUUGGGGGUUUCUGCAGGCCUUAUUAUGUUGAGGUCAGCUCCCCUAAAAUACAUUAGCAGAACUGUUUGCGGUCUGUCACUGGUGUGAUAAUUAUCUGCACCAAGGCUGCUUUCUAUCUUGUUCAGCUUCCAACCGUCUUCUUGGAGACAACUAUUGAACAUUUGACCUCAAAUCAGGUAGGACUACCCGCUGAACUUAA
rnacentral:misc_RNA from 1 species